GCCUGGGUGGCUCAAUCAGUUGAGCAUCUGACUUUGGCUCAGGUCACGAUCUCAUGGUUCGUGAGUUGGAGCCCCACAUCGGGCU
rnacentral:tRNA from 1 species